CUCAAGUGUCGGCCCCCCCAGGACUCCCAGGAUAAACCUUUCAAAGAGCCUGAAUCACGUCCCGCACCUCAGCCCGCGCCCACAAGAGGCAGAGGCAUUCGUAUUCGUAGCAGAGGACGUAGUCGCGUGAUCAAAUCAAAAAUCACUGGCACUCCACCAGGAACCGGCACAUGAGGGACCUUAGGGAGGAGGAACAGAGGCCCAGUGGAUCCAAG